AGGAUUUCACUCUUGGUGAUAUUGGUACGGUGUAGUGCAUUUAUAAAUUAUAACAUUUAUUAACAACAAUAUUUAAAACGAUUAUUCAUAACUAAUAAGGAGAGCAUGAACAUAUUAUUCUGUUGCAACGCUAAAAUGGAAGUCUUAAGUGGAAUGACUUCGCGAUAAAUCCUGCAGGAAAAGACGGACAGACGUCUACGACGAAAAUUUU